GAUGAACGCUGGCGGCGUGCCUAAUACAUGCAAGUCGAGCGAACAGACGAGGAGCUUGCUCCUCUGACGUUAGCGGCGGACGGGUGAGUAACACGUGGAUAACCUACCUAUAAGACUGGGAUAACUUCGGGAAACCGGAGCUAAUACCGGAUAAUAUAUUGAACCGCAUGGUUCAAUAGUGAAAGACGGUUUUGCUGUCACUUAUAGAUGGAUCCGCGCCGCAUUAGCUAGUUGGUAAGGUAACGGCUUACCAAGGCGACGAUGCGUAGCCGACCUGAGAGGGUGAUCGGCCACACUGGAACUGAGACACGGUCCAGACUCCUACGGGAGGCAGCAGUAGGGAAUCUUCCGCAAUGGGCGAAAGCCUGACGGAGCAACGCCGCGUGAGUGAUGAAGGUCUUCGGAUCGUAAAACUCUGUUAUUAGGGAAGAACAAAUGUGUAAGUAACUAUGCACGUCCUGACGGUACCUAAUCAGAAAGCCACGGCUAACUACG
rnacentral:rRNA from 1 species